rnacentral:rRNA from 1 species
UACGUAGGGGGCAAGCGUUGUCCGGAUUUACUGGGCGUAAAGAGCGUGUAGGCGGCCACGCAGGUCCGUUGUGAAAACUGGAGGCUCAACCUCCAGCUGUCGACGGAAACCGUAUGGCUAGAGUCCGGAAGAGGAGAGUGGAAUUCCUGGUGUAGCGGUGAAAUGCGCAGAUAUCAGGAAGAACACCAACGGCGAAGGCAGCUCUCUGGGACGGUACUGACGCUGAGACGCGAAAGCGUGGGGAGCGAACAGG